CCGUCAACACCGCCUCUUACGGCAGUCGGAAGCUAGAAAGCUUCGUUUCUUAGCGCAAAUCCAUCGAUAUCAGCGAGGAUCUCACGACAAUGAGUGUUGGCGUUGAUUUGUGCACUGAUUGCAGCGUGAUACAAGGCCGGAGUCACGUCGCAAGUGGAGACGUUGAUGGAAAGUCACUGGAACGACGCGAAACGAAAGGCGUGUCGGUUGGAGUACUUGCGGAGCCUAGGGUUUCUAAAACCCUAGGUCUUUUGUCUUCCGUUAACAAAUUGGGCCACUUGGGCCCUAUGUAUUUUAGGCAGCAUUUGGUCUCUAGUACAAGCUUGGGUGUAAUUGGGCAUUGGGUAAUUUAGGUAUUUGGGCUAGGUAAACGGGCUAGCAGUUUUGGGUUUUGUAAAAAGACUAUAAAACUUUAUUUUUUUUUUUGUUUAUUUAUUUUACGGGCCCGGGUGAAUUUGGGCUAUUACAAUGCACAUGCUAUACACUUUAAUACAAACAAA